UGGGGAAUUUUGGACAAUGGGCGCAAGCCUGAUCCAGCCAUGCCGCGUGAGUGAAGAAGGCCUUCGGGUUGUAAAGCUCUUUCGGCCGGAAGAAAUCGUGUUCUCUAACAUAGGACAUGGAUGACGGUACCGGACUAAGAAGCACCGGCUAACUACGUGCC
rnacentral:rRNA from 1 species